AAAAGGGAGUCCUUUUCUGGAGACACCGGGGUUUGUUGGCUGAUAUGCCAAGUGGUUGGCAGGCACUUGCCAGUGCUAACAUUUCUCACCCUCAUCUGGGCACAGCAGAAGCACCCCAUUCCUCACAAACUGAGAGAAGUAGCACUAGGCAGGUUAAGUAUUCCACAUAAAGGCUCCUCAAAUCAGACAACCUGAAUUGAACUUAAUUAGAAGAACUUGGAGUACUGAGGAAAAAGAAAAGAAAAGACAGAAUGCAGCUUGCCAGGUCUUCCUGACAAGAAAAGAUGCCGGGAAAGUGAGCAUGUGGAGGUGGAGCUGGGCUCACAAUCUCAAAGUAAAUCUGACUGCAGAAAGGUGUUGGAGAGGGAAUGAGACCUUGGUAAUGGACGACUUGGUAGGAAAAGAAAAGAAUGAGCAACUUCCUGGUGCCCACUAACACUCUUCCAUGAAUGGCCCUUCAGUCUGACAGUCAUUUCCACACAGCUGUGAGAAGCAUGCAUUGU